AAUUGUAGAACAUGAGCAUAUCAUACUCGCAGGAGAUUCAGAUCCGAGAUCUUAAGCCUUAUUAAUGUCGAAGCUCGAUUCGAUUCCUGCAUGCAGAAAGUUUAAUUGAAAGUGUUUGAUUCUGCAAUGGUGAAGAAGAAGAUUACAAAGAAGGCUGUAGAUGCUGAAGAAGGUGUGUAUAUUUAAAUUUUUCAUCAUUUUUUCAAAUUUUCAAUUGAAUUUUCGCUUAUAUAUGUCGAAUUAGUAGUGCAUGUUAUUUUUAUAGUUUUCUGUUGAUUUUUUAUGCAUAUUAUGAUAAUUGAAUUUUAAUUUUGAAGUUAUUAUGUUUAAUUUUGCUUUAUUUUAUUGUUCAUUGUGUAUAAUUGGUUCAAAAUUUGUUAUACAUGUGUUGUGGUGUUGUUAUAUGUGAAACAAAUUUUGCAUGUUUGUUUUCAGAAGUUUUAUUCAUUGCUUAUUAUUCUUCAAAUUUUGUAUGUUAGGUUUUAGUUAGAUUAUGAGAAUAGUAUGCAUAUCUGCAUUGUGUUUGUGUAUAUGUGUUUGAGUAACACUAAUAUGUGCAUUGUGCAUUGUGUGUGAGUAAUAGAUAUAUGUGUCAUUUAUAUGCAUGACAAAGGUUAUUUUAUGCUG